GGGAGGGUAGGGGAGGGGAGGGGGGGAGAGAAAGCUGACGUUCGUGACAUCACUUUAUUGUUUUUGUUCAUUGAAAGUUAAACUUUGAUUGCGUUCCGAUAUUCACUACCGAUAUUGAAAAUCUAUAUAGUUUACAUCACGUAUAUAAUACACGCACCACUCACUAGUCACUAUAGAUUUUCAGUACUGACAGUGAAUCAUUAAUCUCGGAGUGAACAAUUUCUUAUUUCUAUCCGGCAAUUUGAGUGGGAAGAAAGCAAGAGAAAAGGAGCAAUUAUUUUAAUCAAAAAUGGAUUAACAUGUGCUCGAAGGAAAUGCUGAUGCUGUUUUCGAACAUCCCCAUGAACAUCCAGAGAUUGGGCUCCCAGGGGGGUUUUAGUCAGUAAGAAUCUGACAUACUCCCUGGUCCUUUCUCGAGAACCAGAGGGACCUAUGUUUCCCCCUGUACAAAAAAAAAAGUUUAGAGGUUGUGGAGAGCAUUACUUUUGGAAUAAUGAGUACAUAAUGUCUCUAUAAUUGAAGAAAACAAACAUAAUAAUAGGAAUUAUGUUUCCAGCAUUGUAUAGAAUUAGUAAAGAGCAUUGGAA